AGGGUGUAAACGCUGCAGACUUGGUGUUGGGAACCCUUCGGGGGUGCUCAGUGCCGGAGAGAAGUUGUUAAGUCUGCUACUUGGGGAGUACGUCCGCAAGGAUGAAACUUAAAGGAAUUGGCGGGGGAGGCACCGCAACGGGGGGAGGCGUGCGGUUUAAUUGGAUUCAACACCGGAAAACUCACCAGGGGAGACUGUUACAUGAAACCCAGACUAAUGAUCUUGGUUGAUUUUCAGAGAGGUGGUGCAUGGCGUCAGUGACU
rnacentral:rRNA from 1 species